GGGAUUACGGAUAAGUAUUAAAUUUGUGAUGUGAAAGUGAUGUCUGUCUUAGAAUGAGGUUUUCAGCGGAUAAUUGACCAGCUGUAUUCCAUGGAAGGGUCUCUCCCGAAUACCUCCCGACAUCCAUUUGCCAUGAUGCAUUGCCCAAGUGUGACAUUUAAGUGUACUGGCACGCUUAAAUGAUCUAUGCGUGGACACAUCAACAGAGGACAUUGUAAUCAGUGGACACUGUCAUUAUCUAAUAAUGGCUGCAGUGCGGCAGCAUCAUCUGUGGUCAUUGUCGCCAAAAGACUUAACUGGUAAAAAGGCUGACAUCCCAAACAAAAAAAUCAUACGACACGUCUUGUGAUUAUACAACAGUGAUAAUGGUGGUUAUAUGUGCAAAAACAAAUGAAUAUUCAUAAACUAUUGACACUUGUCGUAGCUUAUAUCAUUGUCACCUCAACAUUGCUAAUGUCUGGAGUCUAAUAUUGAUCGUGAUAUAAAAACUGAG